GCUCAAAUUUGAAAUCUGGCGUCUUUGGCGUCCGAGUUGUAAUUUGAAGAAGGUAUCUUUGGGCCCGGCUCUUGUCUAUGUUCCUUGGAACAGGACGUCACAGAGGGUGAGAAUCCCGUGCGAUGAGAUGACCCGGGUCUGUGUAAAGUUCCUUCGACGAGUCGAGUUGUUUGGGAAUGCAGCUCUAAGUGGGUGGUAAAUUCCAUCUAAAGCUAAAUAUUGGCGAGAGACCGAUAGCGAACAAGUACAGUGAUGGAAAGAUGAAAAGAACUUUGAAAAGAGAGUGAAAAAGUACGUGAAAUUGUUGAAAGGGAAGGGCUUGAGAUCAGACUUGGUAUUUUGCAUGUUGCUCUCUCGGGGGCGGCCGCUGCGGUUUACCGGGCCAGCAUCGGUUUGGAGCGGCAGGAUAAUGGCGGAGGAAUGUGGCACGGCUUCUGCUGUGUGUUAUAGCCUCUGACGAUACUGCCAGCCUAGACCGAGGACUGCGGUUUUUAACCUAGGAUGUUGGCAUAAUGAUCUUAAGUCGCCCGUC
rnacentral:rRNA from 1 species